rnacentral:rRNA from 1 species
AGAGUUUGAUCCUGGCUCAGAUUGAACGCUGGCGGCGGGCCUAACACAUGCAAGUCGAGCGGUAGAGAGAAGCUUGCUUUUCUUGAGAGCGGCGGACGGGUGAGUAAUGCCUAGGAAUCUGCCUGGUAGUGGGGGAUAACGUUCGGAAACGGACGCUAAUACCGCAUACGUCCUACGGGAGAAAGCAGGGGACCUUCGGGCCUUGCGCUAUCAGAUGAGCCUAGGUCGGAUUAGCUAGUUGGUGAGGUAAUGGCUCACCAAGGCGACGAUCCGUAACUGGUCUGAGAGGAUGAUCAGUCACACUGGAACUGAGACACGGUCCAGACUCCUACGGGAGGCAGCAGUGGGGAAUAUUGGACAAUGGGCGAAAGCCUGAUCCAGCCAUGCCGCGUGUGUGAAGAAGGUCUUCGGAUUGUAAAGCACUUUAAGUUGGGAGGAAGGGCAGUAAAUUAAUACUUUGCUGUUUUGACGUUACCGACAGAAUAAGCACCGGCUAACUCUGUGCCAGCAGCCGCGGUAAUACAGAGGGUGCAAGCGUUAAUCGGAAUUACUGGGCGUAAAGCGCGCGUAGGUGGUUUGUUAAGUUGGAUGUGAAAUCCCCGGGCUCAACCUGGGAACUGCAUUCAAAACUGACUGACUAGAGUAUGGUAGAGGGUGGUGGAAUUUCCUGUGUAGCGGUGAAAUGCGUAGAUAUAGGAAGGAACACCAGUGGCGAAGGCGACCACCUGGACUAAUACUGACACUGAGGUGCGAAAGCGUGGGGAGCGAACAGGAUUAGAUACCCUGGUAGUCCACGCCGUAAACGAUGUCAACUAGCCGUUGGAAGCCUUGAGCUUUUAGUGGCGCAGCUAACGCAUUAAGUUGACCGCCUGGGGAGUACGGCCGCAAGGUUAAAACUCAAAUGAAUUGACGGGGGCCCGCACAAGCGGUGGAGCAUGUGGUUUAAUUCGAAGCAACGCGAAGAACCUUACCAGGCCUUGACAUCCAAUGAACUUUCUAGAGAUAGAUUGGUGCCUUCGGGAACAUUGAGACAGGUGCUGCAUGGCUGUCGUCAGCUCGUGUCGUGAGAUGUUGGGUUAAGUCCCGUAACGAGCGCAACCCUUGUCCUUAGUUACCAGCACGUCAUGGUGGGCACUCUAAGGAGACUGCCGGUGACAAACCGGAGGAAGGUGGGGAUGACGUCAAGUCAUCAUGGCCCUUACGGCCUGGGCUACACACGUGCUACAAUGGUCGGUACAGAGGGUUGCCAAGCCGCGAGGUGGAGCUAAUCCCACAAAACCGAUCGUAGUCCGGAUCGCAGUCUGCAACUCGACUGCGUGAAGUCGGAAUCGCUAGUAAUCGCGAAUCAGAAUGUCGCGGUGAAUACGUUCCCGGGCCUUGCACUCAACGCCCGUC